AUGUGGCAGCACGACCGUCACCCGGGCUCCUGCAAAAGGCGGCUCUGUAUCGCGACACGGGAAAUUAAGCGAUUGAGUGGGAGGUGGAGAAAGCGCUUAAACGGAGAAGUUAAUCUGCUAACAUGGAGAGGAAACAAACGGAGAAAAAAACCCCGAAGCCACCGCUACAGUGCAAAACACCAAGCUUUUGGGCUCAAAAAGCCUAGACCAUCAUGGCUACGAAACCUACUGCUGCUCAGAGACCAUGUAAUUCUGGAGCUCCUUAAGGAAAAAAGCAGUGCGAUGCAACAUCAGAACAGUGGCCAAGUGGUCUUCUCCACAGCAGCCAUGAUCUUCAAUCUUGAACCCAAGAAGACUCAUCAAAUGCCUAAGGAAAGACAGUAUGGAGUUGGAAGAGAAGCAUGGAUCUCCAUGAGGGGCAGUCAGUUAUAGUCAUGGUGUGUGGAAGAACAAGUCCUGUUCUCGCUGUUGUUACUCCCACAUAGGCAGACUCUGUAAUUGAUUAUGUGUGGGUAGGGCCCUAUUGAAAUUCAGGAGAUUCUGCAGUAGUGCGGGGUUCUUUUUGUGACAGUUCAGUUGCAAGAUCAGGACCCUACUGUGACUCCUUACUGUGCAUUCUGUCACUGUCUCAUUGGUUGUACUGGAACCUGCCUGUUGGGAUAAU
rnacentral:lncRNA from 1 species